AUGUUUGAAAAAAACGACUUACGUGGUUUGGUUUCUUUUUAGGGAAAAACCGAACCAUGAACACCCCUACCUACAAGUAACUACAAUUGCCUCUUGCUUAUUGGCAUGUUUAAAUAUGCCCAUGCUUUAGAUAUGAAACUGAUUGAAGAAUUUUUAUUGAUGUGAUUGAAUAGGAGAUGGAUAAGUAUUAUGAUCUACUAAACAUUUUGAAGAAAGUUGGAUAUCUCCAAGGUGCACAAACAUAAAUGCUGCUUGGUAGUCUCAAACUUGCAACAGUCACUCUCAAGCUACAGAAGAUAAUAAGAAGGUUGUUUUAUGAGUUAGUCAGGAUGAUUUGGCGUAUCGAGAAUGAUGGGUGAUGGAGACUGUAAGAAUGGUUUAUGUUUGGAAACUUCGCGGAAUUAUCUUCUUGGAGUAACUUUUAUAUACAGGAUUUCAAUGGCAAGGGCCAAGGGGUGAUCAUAUCCAUCUGAUUAUUUUACUCGAGGAAUUACCAAGUCUUAUGGCCGCAUAAAAUGGCAGAAACAAUAUGCAGCAGUUACAAUCAUUUGUCACUGGGAAACGACGUUUAAAGGCUGAUGAGUCGCAGAACGCAAUAGAGGAACAACAGAAUAAUUUGGUUGAAGAGAUCAGGAAUGCAGUUGAUGAUCAUAUAAGAGUAGGCUGGAGGAUGCUACUGGAGGUCCUGAAGUAAUGGCUCUGAAUUAGCGAGUGAAUUACGACUAUGCUCCGUGAUUAUAACUUUAUUCUUUCAUACAUCAGCUAACUGUAGCAACAGAUCUCCUAAUGCAGUACCUAAAUUCAAGUCUUUAA